rnacentral:misc_RNA from 1 species
GUGAGAGGAUUGGUAUGGGAUGAACAAAGGGGCAAAAUCUUUGUUUUUAG